rnacentral:tRNA from 1 species
GGAGGGGUGUGGCUCAGUGGUAGAGCAUCUGCUUGGCAUGCAAAAGGUCUCAGGUUCAAACCCCAGCAUCUCCA